rnacentral:rRNA from 1 species
GAUGAACGCUGGCGGCGUGCCUAAUACAUGCAAGUCGAGCGAACGGACGAGAAGCUUGCUUCUCUGAUGUUAGCGGCGGACGGGUGAGUAACACGUGGAUAACCUACCUAUAAGACUGGGAUAACUUCGGGAAACCGGAGCUAAUACCGGAUAAUAUUUUGAACCGCAUGGUUCAAAAGUGAAAGACGGUCUUGCUGUCACUUAUAGAUGGAUCCGCGCUGCAUUAGCUAGUUGGUAAGGUAACGGCUUACCAAGGCAACGAUGCAUAGCCGACCUGAGAGGGUGAUCGGCCACACUGGAACUGAGACACGGUCCAGACUCCUACGGGAGGCAGCAGUAGGGAAUCUUCCGCAAUGGGCGAAAGCCUGACGGAGCAACGCCGCGUGAGUGAUGAAGGUCUUCGGAUCGUAAAACUCUGUUAUUAGGGAAGAACAUAUGUGUAAGUAACUGUGCACAUCUUGACGGUACCUAAUCAGAAAGCCACGGCUAACUACGUGCCAGCAGCCGCGGUAAUACGUAGGUGGCAAGCGUUAUCCGGAAUUAUUGGGCGUAAAGCGCGCGUAGGCGGUUUUUUAAGUCUGAUGUGAAAGCCCACGGCUCAACCGUGGAGGGUCAUUGGAAACUGGAAAACUUGAGUGCAGAAGAGGAAAGUGGAAUUCCAUGUGUAGCGGUGAAAUGCGCAGAGAUAUGGAGGAACACCAGUGGCGAAGGCGACUUUCUGGUCUGUAACUGACGCUGAUGUGCGAAAGCGUGGGGAUCAAACAGGAUUAGAUACCCUGGUAGUCCACGCCGUAAACGAUGAGUGCUAAGUGUUAGGGGGUUUCCGCCCCUUAGUGCUGCAGCUAACGCAUUAAGCACUCCGCCUGGGGAGUACGACCGCAAGGUUGAAACUCAAAGGAAUUGACGGGGACCCGCACAAGCGGUGGAGCAUGUGGUUUAAUUCGAAGCAACGCGAAGAACCUUACCAAAUCUUGACAUCCUUUGACAACUCUAGAGAUAGAGCCUUCCCCUUCGGGGGACAAAGUGACAGGUGGUGCAUGGUUGUCGUCAGCUCGUGUCGUGAGAUGUUGGGUUAAGUCCCGCAACGAGCGCAACCCUUAAGCUUAGUUGCCAUCAUUAAGUUGGGCACACUAAGUUGACUGCCGGUGACAAACCGGAGGAAGGUGGGGAUGACGUCAAAUCAUCAUGCCCCUUAUGAUUUGGGCUACACACGUGCUACAAUGGACAAUACAAAGGGCAGCGAAACCGCGAGGUCAAGCAAAUCCCAUAAAGUCGUUCUCAGUUCGGAUUGUAGUCUGCAACUCGACUACAUGAAGCUGGAAUCGCUAGUAAUCGUAGAUCAGCAUGCUACGGUGAAUACGUUCCCGGGUCU